GGGGAUGCACUGGUUUCGACGGGGCUUCUGAGGUCGGGAAAGCGGGUAGAGGAUCCUCGUUGGCCUCUUUAAUAAACGAGGAAUUGCAAGUAAUUGCAGACAACACAGAGCUCGUAGCAGCCUAAGGCUACCGUCCUUCCGCCUAUCUUCUCGCGGGAGUGUACGUACACCGAAGACCUCGCCUGAGAGAGGUUAAGCAGGCAGUCCUGCCGGUUAAGCUUUGCGCCGGAUAGUGACUUUAAUCUUUAUGAAGCUACAGGAACCGCAAUCUGUCAGCAGAUGACGCGGGAAUUGGAAUAAUCCAACUACUGACUGCACCCGGAGAUUGUCCCGGAGGAAGAGGUUUCGGACAGGAGUUCGAUUCUCCUCAUCUCCACCA
rnacentral:tmRNA from 1 species